AAGACUAGAGUUGAUUUGGGCUUACAGGAAUUUGACACCUCAGCUGUCUAAUUCUGUUCAAAUUUAGAAGGAAUGGUGAAACAAGCUCCUAUCAAGAAGACAUCCAGAUUUAUUUCGUGUUAACAUGCGAAUAAACUCUACAGGUCAAAGGGAAAAUGGAAUGGGCUUCCAUAUGAUGGAUGUACAUGGGGGAAAUAAGUCUGAUAUCUUGGUGUUCCAAUCUCAGAUUGAAUUCUUCAACAAGAUUUAGUCCAGGAGCAAGUCUACUGAGAAGAACAAGGGUGUCGAUCAUGAACUUUUGUUUUAGUUGACUGUAGGUUUCAUGUGGAAAUGUAUUUUUGAUCUCAGCUUCUAAUGAUGAAAAGAAGCAGUCAAGAAUAAAAUUUGAUGUCCUUUGGCACCUUAUGAGAUGAUAAACAUCAACACUGAUGUUCUGAUAACUACAAAAUAGGAAUGCAUGCAUCAAUGGGCAUGAAGGGCGUUGGUUGAAGACCAAAGAUUCUACAUUGUUCAGUCUAUUUAAAGGUAAUUGUACUAAACAUCCAGUUCUUACCGCUCUUUACACUUUAGUUAAUACCAUCAGUGUGGCACCCCUCCUUUUUAACAUUCUUUUAGUUAGUAGCAGUAUUAUUGAAGCGUUUCUACCAUUUUGCUGGAGGUUUUAGCGGUGUUCACGAUAUUAGGCUGUAAUUGUUGCCGGCCUCAGCUUGGUAAACUUUCCUGGCUUAGUCUUAAUAUUGAAACUUGCUCGGAGGAUCCAACCAAGGCCACAUUUUUGAUAAAGAAGAAGCAAUAUUCUAUUCUAUCCACAGGCUUUGAUGUGUCAUCAGCAGCUCUAUUACAACGUCGGCUUACCCCAGUUCAGGUUACUGCUCUUUAUUCUUUAGUUAAAACCAUCAUUGUGGCACCCCUGCUUUUAACAUUUGUUUAGUUAGUAGCUGUAUUUUAAAAGUGUUUCUACCAUUUUGCUGGAGGUUUUAGUGGUGUUCUUGAUAUUAGGCUGUAAUUAUUGCCAGUCUGAGCAACGUAAAAUUUCCUUACUUACCGCCUGUUCGGCAGUCAUCCAGCUCCGUGGAGCGCACGGAGCGACCCUUCGGCCACUCCCAAAAAAUAGGCUGCAGCCCGCUCCGCUCCGGCGCGGAGCUGCGGAGCGGAGAGCUGCCGAACAGGGCGUUAGUCUCGAAUAUGGAAACUUGCUCGGAGGAUCCAACCAAGGCCACAUUUUCUAUAAAAAAAAUGCAAGAUUCUGUUCAGCUCUAUUAGUAGUC